GACAUUGUUUACGGACUGGUGACUUAUCCGAAGAAUCAGUAGCGGCAAUGGAGGAAACAAAAGGAGGAAUUGCUUCAGGGGAAAGAGUUUUAGCAAUAGACUCGAGUUCAGAAGCCGCCGCCGAAUGUGUAUCCCGGUCGGAAAGCUUGUGUAAGCAUGUGAGUACCCGGUGCUUCAUAUCACGUGUUUGGUUCUGGUUUUGCUUACUGUAAACCGACAUUUUCACCGACAAUUCACCGGCAAACUGAUUUUUCUAGAAUGGAGUUAGAAAUUAAAGUGAGAAAAUAUAAGAGAGUUACUGUAAAGGUGGUGGUGGUGUCUCCGGCAGCAUUGCAG
rnacentral:misc_RNA from 1 species